UGGGGAAUAUUGCGCAAUGGGGGAAACCCUGACGCAGCGACGCCGCGCGAGCGAUGGAGGCCUUAGGGUUGUAAAGCUCUGUUUUAAGGGACGAAUGUUACGGGGAGUAAUAUGCCCUGUAAAUGACGGUACCUUAAGAGGAAGCCCCGGCUAACUACGUGCCAGCAGCCGCGGUAAGACGUAGGGGGCGAGCGUUGUCCGGAAUUACUGGGCGUAAAGAGCACGUAGGCGGGACUUUAAGUCAGGUGUGAAAGACCGGGGCUCAACCUCGGGGUGGCACUUGAAACUGGGGUUCUUGAGGGCAGGAGAGGAAAGUAGAAUUCCUGGUGUAGCGGUGAAAUGCGUAGAAAUCAGGAGGAAUACCAGUGGCGACGGCGACUUUCUGGACUGACCCUGACGCUGAGGUGCGAAAGCGUGGGUAGCAAACAG
rnacentral:rRNA from 1 species